GAUCCCUCAUCAUAGGUGCACAUUGUCAGAAAGGGCACACUGGUAUCUCAGCUCCGGCCUCUCUGUGCAGCAGUCCCCGGAGCGCAUUGACUUUUAUCUCAGCUCCGGCCUCUCUGUGCAGCAGCCCCCGGAGCGCAUUGACUUUUAUCUCAGCUCCGGCCUCUCUGUGCAGCAGCCCCCGGAGCGCAUUGACUUUUAUCUCAGCUCCGGCCUCUCUGUGCAGCAGUCCCCGGAGCGCAUUGACUUUUAUCUCAGCUCCGGCCUCUCUGUGCAGCAGCCCCCGGAGCGCAUUGACUUUUAUCUCAGCUCCGGCCUCUCUGUGCAGCAGCCCCCGGAGCGCAUUGACUUUUAUCUCAGCUCCGGCCUCUCUGCGCCGGCAGCCUCCGGAGCGCAUUGACUAUUAUCUCAGCCCCGGCCUCCUCAUCGCAGCAACCCCCGGAGCGCAUUGACUUUUAUCUCAGCCCCGGCCUCCUCAUCGCAGCAGCCCCCGAGAGCAUUGACUUUUAUCUCCACUCCGGCCUCUCUGUGCAGCAGCCCCCGGAGUGCAGCGACUGUUAUCUCAGCCCCGGCCUCUCUGCGCAGCAGCCUCCGGACACAUUGACUUUUAUCUCGGUUGAUCUUCAGCCUGAUUGUCUCAGGUGAGGAGGCUCUCCCUCCUCUCUAUAAAGGUAAACUCAACAGUGUUACUGAAACAGUCACGAGUAAGGGCUGAGAUUGAAUUGCGCCCGAAACAUGUAGACUCUGCUUUUUGUACCUGGAUUUUAUUGAAUAUCGAAUAAAGCCUUUUUGGAUUACCACAACCUGGACAAAACCUCUUUUUCCAUAUUUUCGUCAUUUCUCCUGAUUCGGGUGAAGGAGUUGUUCCGUGCUAUAACAGUGGAAUCCUUGGCAGUUCUGCCAUAGAUUACAUGAAACUGCCUUGGAACAAAGUUACUGGGAUAAUUACUGAUGGGGCACCUGCCAUGGCUGGUGAACGAAGUGGAUUAUCAACCCUAAUCUGUAACAAGAGCCCUGUGCCACCGCCAGUUUAAACAGUUUCUACUGGAUAUCCAGGCUGAAUACGAAGAUGUUUUAUAUCAUAACGAUGUAAGAUGGCUCAGUCGAGGGUCUGCACUGCAGCAUUUCUACUCUCUCAGCAAAGAAAUUGGAGAAUUCUUGGAAACAAAGGGACAACCGAUGCGAGAACUAUCUGAUCCUAUUUGGCUGGCUGAUUUAGGGUUUCUAGUCGACAUAACAAAGCAUCUGAAUGUACUGAACACGAGUCUUCAGGGCAAAGAUGCAGCGGUGAACCAGCUUUAUUCACACCUCAAAGCCUUUGGAACAAAGCUGCAACUUUUCCAGAAGCAUUUGUCACAAACACCGCCCAAUACCAUUCAUUUUUCAGUGUUGCAGGAAAUAAUUA